AUGACUUGGUGCUAUUAAUAGUAUAGUAGCCUAGUUCUAUAUAUAUAUAUAUAUAUAUAUAUAUAGAGAGAGAGAGAGAGAGAGAGAGAGAGAGCAGGACUGCUGAGCCGUUUUCGAUGAUAGAAUUUUCAAAUCGACGAUCGGCUCCGCUAGACUUGAUCUAGCGUAUUUGAAGUUUCUAGAAAAUAACUUUUUGUGAUUUUUCGAUAUCAUUUACCUAGCAAUCGAAAGGAUUCAAAACCAAUAAUUUUUAACAGCUGAAAAUAAAAAUCAUAUAAAAAGUGGUGAUAUAGCACUAAAAUUUUCGAUCAGAAAUAUUAAUCUUGUUGUAGAUAGUAUAAAGAAUUUUGUAUCAAAAUUUCAUCUGAUUUGAGAACUUCUACACCAUUAAAUUUGAAAACGGCAGAUAUCAACCAUUAAAAAAUAUUGAUUUUUAAUCCUUUUGAUCACUAGGUAAAUGAUAUCAAAAAAUCGCAAAAAUUAUUUUCUACAAACUUUAAAUACCCUAGAUCAAGUCUAACGGAACCGAUCGUUGAUUCGAAAAUUCCAUCAUCAAAAACGGCUAAGGAGCAUGGAAGCCUCCGUGCUCCUGAGAGCACAGCAGCCCUGCUCUCUCU
rnacentral:lncRNA from 1 species